rnacentral:tRNA from 1 species
UAAAUAAAUAUCUAAAUUAAGUAUAUUAUUUACAAUAAUAAGAUGUUAUUAAACUUUAUUUAA